rnacentral:rRNA from 1 species
CGGCGAGUGGCGAACGGGUGAGUAAUAUAUCGGAACGUACCCAAGAGUGGGGGAUAACGUAGCGAAAGUUACGCUAAUACCGCAUACGAUCUAAGGAUGAAAGCAGGGGAUCUUCGGACCUUGUGCUCCUGGAGCGGCCGAUAUCUGAUUAGCUAGUUGGUGAGGUAAAGGCUCACCAAGGCCACGAUCAGUAGCUGGUCUGAGAGGACGACCAGCCACACUGGAACUGAGACACGGUCCAGACUCCUACGGGAGGCAGCAGUGGGGAAUUUUGGACAAUGGGCGAAAGCCUGAUCCAGCAAUGCCGCGUGAGUGAAGAAGGCCUUCGGGUUGUAAAGCUCUUUUGUCAGGGAAGAAACGGUGGGGGCUAAUAUCCUUCACUAAUGACGGUACCUGAAGAAUAAGCACCGGCUAACUACGUGCCAGCAGCCGCGGUAAUACGUAGGGUGCAAGCGUUAAUCGGAAUUACUGGGCGUAAAGCGUGCGCAGGCGG